rnacentral:rRNA from 1 species
UACGGGGGGGGCAAGCGUUGUUCGGAAUUACUGGGCGUAAAGGGUCUGUAGGUGGCUUGCUAAGUCAGACGUGAAAUCCCCCGGCUUAACCUGGGAACUGCAUCCGAGACUGCAUUGCUAGAGUAUGGGAGAGGGAAGCGGAAUUUCUGGUGUAGCAGUGAAAUGCGUAGAUAUCAGAAGGAACAUCAGUGGCGAAGGCGGCUUCCUGGACCAAUACUGACGAUCAGGUGCGAAAGCGUGGGGAGCAAGCAGG